rnacentral:rRNA from 1 species
UACAGAGGUCUCAAGCGUUGUUCGGAUUCAUUGGGCGUAAAGGGUGCGUAGGCGGCGCGGUAAGUCGGGUGUGAAAUCUUGGAGCUUAACUCCGAAACUGCAUUCGAUACUGCCGUGCUUGAGGACUGGAGAGGAGACUGGAAUUUACGGUGUAGCGGUGAAAUGCGUAGAUAUCGUAAGGAAGACCAGUGGCGAAGGCGGGUCUCUGGACAGUUCCUGA